UGAGGAUUUCUCAUAAGGUCUGCACAUGGAUGCUGGUGGAGAUGAGAAGAGAGUGAGAUUGACCGAGGUAGUUUAGGGUUUAGGGAUUCAAUCACUCAAGAUUUCAACCAUUGCGUUCUUCACAGGAAAGCAAGGUGUAACUUGGAAGAAGUUAAAAUAGGAUGCUCGAUUUCGUUUGAGAGUUUAAUCCUUGUCCACAGGCAAACGGCUGUACUCAAAAAGUGUUGCGAGGCCUUUUUGAAGCUGAGAAAGUGCCUGCACGAUUUGACUAGGAGAAGAAAUGUGGAAAUGCGAUUUCGGCCUUUGGAGAAAGAAGAUUAAAGCUCUUCUGGUUCAAUAAGACGUAGCAAGGCUUUGGAUGAUGAAGGCAAGUUACUUACCUCUAUUACUGAUGUUAACGAAAAGGAAAUGGCUAAAAUAGCAUCAACUGUUGAGAAGAAUUGGAGAAAUUUAAAUUAUAUCUGAUCUGUGGACUUGAAAGCAAGAUUCUUCAGCUAUAAAAAGAACCCUACGAACAAUUGGAAGAGAAUUUAGGGGAUGCUCUAACCUUGGACAAUGUUCGUGACUCACUUAGGUCUACAGAACUUAAGCUUAAAUGAGAAAUGGCGGAGAAUUAUAAGCUCACAUGGGAAGGAUUCUCUGUUGAAGCUUUUAUGCCAUGUAUUAUAUAUUGAAUAACUUUAUUUGAAAAUUUAAAUGCAUCAUAACCUAUUUUAGUUGAUGUAUGUGGACAAGAGCUUGAAGGAAUGUAUUGUGCCAUAUUAUUUGUCGAACUAAGAAUCUUAC